UUUUUUUUUUUUUUUGCUCCCUUUUUGGAAGCUACGAAGCCAAGGGCUAAAAAAUCAGAGCUCAGAGCUGAAAUUGCAUAACUAAUCAAAGUCAAAAUUGAUCGAAUUAGAAAAGAAGAUCCCUCUUGGCUUAGUGAUUUGAGGGUUAAAUUCGAAGAAAACAAUGAAGAAAUGGGACAAAGAAGCAGCGAAUUGCCUUAGGAUGCAAAACGACAAGAGAAUGUGAUUGGAAAGAGUGGUAUGAUCGAAAGAUUCUCUCCUAAGCGAGUCUGGGGUCGAGGUUUUGCGUUGCUUGGGAGAGAAAAUGCGGGAAAAUGAGAGAAAAUUGAGCGGUGGAGUGAGAGCUGCAGUGGUGAGAGAUACUGUGAGAGUAAAAGAGAAAAUCCAAUUGGAGAAAG
rnacentral:misc_RNA from 1 species